GUUUGAGCCCACCCUGCACACACGUGCUCUCCCCUAGCCCUCAGGAGCUUCCCUCCUCUCAGCUCCUAAGCCCACCCCCAUCUCAUCUGUCACUCCUGUGGUUCAUGAAGGAUGAUCUUGUCUCCCUGACUACAACUUAGACCAGUUCAUGACAAUGCAUACAUAAGUCAGAACCACCUAGGGCAUGGGUUAAACAUGCAGGCCCUGGGCCCAUCCUUGAAGAUUCUGACCUGGAAGUCUGAACAGGUCCUGGGCAUCUGUGCUCAUGAGCUCACGACAGGCUCCCUUGAGUGUCCUGAAGCAGAGCCGAGUUGAAGAACCGCAAUCAGAAAUACAAGGGUUACUAAAGCAGAGAGGGAGAUUCUCCAUGACAUGAAGAUUUAGAGCCAGAAAGACCUGCUUCUUCCUCUCUUCGCACAGCAGUCAUACCACCUCCACUGUUGGGACUGUGUCAUGGUGUCUGUUGUUCUACAUACUCAGAAUCCACUGCCUCCUUCUGGAAACAACCUCUUACUUUGGGGAACCCCUUGCCCUGAUUAGAUGGAAUCUUAAUGAAACUGUCAGUCAAAACACACUUCCUUCUUAUCUUGGUAGCUGAGCCGAUCCCAUACUCUCUCCCUGCAUUGGGACCUUGAGCUGAGAAGGGAGGAACUGACAGCCUUUAGAUCUCCUUUCAUCCUCAUCAUGGAGCCUAAAGAGGCAGCAGGGAACCCAGUUCCCAGGUUCCCGGGCUACCCUGCUCUGCCCAUCAGAGUUGAUUUUUCAACCUUUUCUGUGGUUCUAUGGAUGGCCCCGACUCCUCCCAAUAUCCCUUUUACCAUAAGUUAAACAGUGCUUACACCCCAAAAAGCCCAUUUGACGCCAGAUGUGGGGAUUGAACUAGGCGAUGGGAUCUGCCUGUUUCACAGAUGGACAUCUGGCCUCUAGGGAGGAAGGGGACAGGGGACAAGGCUCUAGACUUUGGUCCUCUGUCCUCACAUCUCCUCUAAUUACAAUGCUACCU
ensembl:lncRNA